rnacentral:misc_RNA from 1 species
GAAAUGCGAUACUUGGUGUGAAUUGCAGAAUCCCGUGAACCAUCGAGUCUUUGAACGCAAGUUGCGCCCGAAGCCAUUAGGCCGAGGGCACGCCUGCCUGGGUGUCACACAUCGUUUCCCCAACGCGUUGUCUUCUGAUGACGCUUCGACCGCGACCCCA